UACGUAGGGGGCUAGCGUUGUCCGGAAUCAUUGGGCGUAAAGCGCGUGUAGGCGGUCCGGUAAGUCCGCUGUGAAAGUCGGGGGCUCAACCCUCGAAUGCCGGUGGAUACUGUCGGGCUAGAGUGCGGAAGAGGCGAGUGGAAUUCCUGGUGUAGCGGUGGAAUGCGCAGAUAUCAGGAGGAACACCGGUGGCGAAGGCAGCUCGCUGGGACGGUACUGACGCUGGAGGCGCGAAGAGCGUGGGGAGCAAACAGG
rnacentral:rRNA from 1 species